GAAGGAAAAUAUUGAGAUUUCUCAUGCAUUAUAGUUUGUCACAUGUUGUUGUUAUUGUAUGAUGGUUCUUAAUUGAUAUUCCGCCAUCAUAAUACAUUUUCUUACUAAAUGUGAUUUGGCUAACAAAUGACAUUAAAAAAAUUAACUCGAGAUUACACUUGAGCUGCUAAAAGAACCAAGUAAAGGUUAUGGCAUACCGGGUGUAUUAUAAUCGAGCAAAAUUUAUUGUAGGACUGUAAACUAUUUUCAUUUGAUUUCCCUAUAAACUACCCAAUAUUCUUUUUCAUA